rnacentral:rRNA from 1 species
AUGGAGGUUCCGAAAGAUCGUAGAGUUCCUUUGGUCGCAUACAAACUGAAAGGAGGAGCCGGUGCAUGGUGGCAUCGCGUUCAAGAGGAGCGCAGGCUGAGAGGAGAACCUCGUGUUAGAACUUGGCGACAAAUGAAAGGCCUCUUGAAAGGGAGAUUUUUGCCCGCUGAUUAUGACCAGAUCCUAUUUAUCCAAUUUCAAAAUUGUGCUCAAGGAAAUUGGACUGUUUCAGAUUACACUGAGGAGUUUCUAAGGCUACAAGUGAGGUGCAACCUUGCUGAAACUGAAGAGCAACAAGUUGCAAGGUACGUCAAUGGUCUCAAUGAUGCUAUUCAAGAUCGAUUGAUGAUGCAACAAAUCUGGUCCGUUGAUCAAGCACAAGCUCUAGCCUUAAAGGCCGAGAGGUUUGUGAGGAUGAGAAAGACAACUAAGACUCCAUAUCCUCCAUAUCCUCAUACCGAAGGCUCAUCUAGGAGCCAACCUAAUAGAGUGGAAGAAAAUAUCACUCCACCAAAGACAAAACAGCCCAUCCCGAAGCAAACUAGAGGCAAGGGUAAGGCAAAUGAAGGUCCAAAGUGCUAUAAAUGUGGUAAAGAGGGACACAUAUCCAGCGGCUGCCCACUAAGGAAAUUUGUUAACACGACUAUCCAUGAUAGUGAAAGCGAUGAGGAAGAAUACGAAUCUGAAGAUGUAGACGGACAAGAGGUUUGUCAAGAAGAAGGUGAAGAGGUGGUAUGUGUGAUCCAGCGUGUCCUAUGUUCCACACCACAACUCGAUGACACACAACGGAAGAAAAUAUUUGAGAGCAAAUGCACGGUGAAUGGCAAGGUAUGCAAACUAGUGAUUGAUAGUUGCAGCUGCGAGAAUCUUAUCUCCCAGAAGUUGGUGGACCAUUUAAAGCUUGAAACCCAUGAUCAUCCAAAUCCCUACACUAUUGGAUGGAUCAAGAAAGGAGUGAAUAUGAGGAUCACCAAACAAUGCAACCUGCCACUUUCUUUGGGUAAGCAUUAUCGCUCAAAUGUGUUGUGUGAUGUGGUUGACAUGGAUGCCAGCCAUGUUCUUCUUGGGAGGCCUUGGCAAUUUGAUGUGGAUACUACACACAAGGGCAAGGAAAAUUCUUACUCUUUCAUUUGGAACAAGAGAAGGAUCAUUAUCUUACCAAACAAACCCGAAGAUAAUACCUCUAAGGAGGAGGGGAAAACUAUGUUAACUAUCUCCCAUACCUCUCAUGAGUUUAUGGAAGACUUGAAGGAGGCAGAUUUGUGUGCUGCACUUGUUGUAAAGGGAGAAGAGCACCUGACUGUUGAAAUUCCAGCAAAGGUACGUGGUUUAUUGGCAGAAUUUCAGAACAUACUUGGGGAGCCACAUGGCUUGCCACCGAUGAGAGGAAUUCAACAUAGAAUUGACUUAAUUCCGGGAGCAAGUCUUCCUAAUUUUCCACACUAUCGAAUGAGCCCAAAGGAGCAUGGUAUAUUGAAGGAGAAAGUGGAGGAAUUGUUGCAAAAGGGGCACAUUCGAGAAAGUAUUAGCCCAUGUGCUGUACCAGCCCUACUCGCGCCAAAGAAAGAUGGAUCUUGGCGCAUGUGUACGGACAGUAGAGCCGUUAACAAGAUCACCGUAAGGUAUAGAUUCCCUAUUCCCCGUCUGGAUGAUAUGUUGGAUCAGCUUAGUGGAGCAAGAGUGUUCACAAAGCUAGAUUUAAGAAGUGGAUAUCAUCAAAUCCGUAUAAGACCCGGGGAUGAAUGGAAGACCACCUUCAAGACAAAGGAAGGGUUGUUUGAAUGGCUAGUCAUGCCAUUUGGGCUCUCAAAUGCACCAAGUACAUUUAUGCACUUAAUGAAUCAAGUCCUUAGACCCUUCUUAUCCCACUUUGUUGUGGUCUAUUUCAAUGACAUCUUGAUCUAUAGCAAGGAUGAGGAUGAACACUCAUUCGGAAGGUGCUAG